CAUUCAACGCCGAGAAUAGAGGAAAAAUUAAAGGGGAGAUAAAAUCCCCCCUUUUUG
rnacentral:misc_RNA from 1 species